GUGUAGCAAUACAUGAGUAAAGCGGCGCACGGGUGAGUAACACGUGGAUAGCCUGCCUCAAAGUGGGGAAUAACACCGGGAAACCGGUGCUAAUACCGCAUACACCGAUGAGAUCUGCGGAUUUUGUCGGGAAAGGAGCAAUUCGCUAUGAGAGGGGUCCGCGGCUGAUUAGCUAGUUGGUGAGGUAAUGGCUCACCAAGGCAACGAUCAGUAGCCGGUCUGAGAGGACGGUCGGCCACACUGGAACUGAGACACGGUCCAGACUCCUACGGGAGGCAGCAGUGGGGAAUUUUUCGCAAUGGGGGCAACCCUGACGAAGCAAUGCCGCGUGGAUGAUGAAGUAUUUCGGUACGUAAAAUCCUUUCGACGGGGACGAAACCGCAAGGUUGACGGUACCCGUAGAAGAAGCCCCGGCUAACUCCGUGCCAGCAGCCGCGGUAAUACGGGGGGGGCAAGCGUUGUUCGGAAUUACUGGGCGUAAAGGGUGCGUAGGCGGCUUUCUAAGUUGGAUGUGAAAACUCUGGGCUCAACCCAGAGCCUGCAUCCAAAACUGGAGAGCUUGGGUUCUGGAGGGGAAAGCGGAAUUCCUGGUGUAGCGGUGAAAUGCGUAGAUAUCAGGAGGAACACCGGUGGCGAAGGCGGCUUUCUGGACAGAUACCGACGCUGAGGCACGAAAGCUAGGGGAGCAAACAGGAUUAGAUACCCUGGUAGUCCUAGCCCUAAACGAUGGAUACUUGCUGUGAGGGGGAUUGAAACCCUUUGUGGCGAAGCUAACGCAUUAAGUAUCCCGCCUGGGGAGUACGGUCGCAAGGCUG
rnacentral:rRNA from 1 species